UUUGAUUUUAUAUUGCCUAAAAAUACCUCAUAUAUUUUUGAGGGUUUUAAAUGUGAGUGCACUGUAUUUAAUAAAGUAAAUUGUUACACUUUACAUACGGGGUUGCACUAUUAUUAUCUUUAUUUGUCUUUCAUGCUCAUGGCCAUCUGGAGGGGAUAAUAGUACUCCAACAAAGACAAGUAUCUUGAUUAAAGUCCUGCAAGUCGUUACCCUAUUUUCUGGACAGCUGGAGAUCAAAGGGAGUUUUCUACUGAUACUACGCGGCACUUACCUCAUACUGAUUGAGGUAAAGGAGUAUGUGAGCUGAAAGGAAAAGACCUAUUGAUCCGAACAACUCCCUCUACCCUGUACAUUACAUUUUGAAGAUUUUUUUGGCCCACACUGCUGUAAAUGGCUUCCAAUUUGCAUAGAAGGAACCGUAAAGCAGAAGACUCCAACCAAGUUGCAGAAGAAUAAAGCCAUAUUACUAUGUUAA